rnacentral:tRNA from 1 species
AGGCUCGUAGUUAAAUGGUAGAACAACGAUCUCCAAAAUCGUUAAUGAGGGUUCGAUUCCCUCCGAGUCUG